GAGGGAAGAAAAAAUAUUCCUAAAAGUUGGCUUGUUUUCGAGACAAAGAGGAUUCAGCAGGGGACAGUACCAGUGAGACUGGCUUCUUCUUCAGGGAGACAAAGAGGAUUCAGCAGGGGACGGUACCAGUGAGACUGGCUUCUUCUUCAGGGAGACAAAGAGGAUUCAGCAGGGGACGGUACCAGUGAGACUGGCUUCUUCUUCAGGGAGACAAAGAGGAUGCAGCAGGGGACAGUACCAGUGAGACUGGCUUCUUCUUCAGGGAGACAAAGAGGAUGCAGCAGGGGACAGUACCAGUGAGACUGGCUUCUUCUUCAGGGAGACAAAGAGGAUGCAGCAGGGGGACAGUACCAGUGAGACUGGCUUCUUCUUCAGGGAGACAAAGAGGAUUCAGCAGGGGGACGGUACCAGUGAGACUGGCUUCUUCUUCAGGGAGACAAAGAGGAUGCAGCAGGGGACAGUACCAGUGAGACUGGCUUCUUCUUCAGGGAGACAAAGAGGAUGCAGCAGGGGGACAGUACCAGUGAGACUGGCUUCUUCUUCAGGGAGACAAAGAGGAUUCAGCAGGGGGACGGUACCAGUGAGACUGGCUUCUUCUUCAGGGAGACAAAGAGGAUGCAGCAGGGGACAGUACCAGUGAGACUGGCUUCUUCUUCAGGGAGACAAAGAGGAUUCAGCAGGGGGACAGUACCAGUGAGACUGGCUUCUUCUUCAGGGAGACAAAGAGGAUUCAGCAGGGGGACAGUACCAGUGAGACUGGCUUCUUCUUCAGGGAGACAAAGGGGAUUCAGCAGGGGGACAGUACCAGUGAGACGCUCCUCCGUGUACAGAGGUUCACUUGUCCAAUGAAGGAUUCAUGCCUUUGAUGUAUGUUUUAUCUCUCUCUCGCUCUCUUUCCCUCUCUCUCUCUCUUUCCCUCUCUCUCUCUCUGCGUCUCUCUCUCUGCGUCUCUCUCUCUCUCUCUCUCUCUCUGCAUCUCUCUCUCUCUCUCUCUGCAUCUCUCUCGCUCUCUCUCGGAAUCUCUCUCUCUCAUAG
rnacentral:lncRNA from 1 species